rnacentral:rRNA from 1 species
AUUGAACGCUGGCGGCAUGCCUUACACAUGCAAGUCGAACGGCAGCACGGGAGCAAUCCUGGUGGCGAGUGGCGAACGGGUGAGUAAUAUAUCGGAACGUGCCCAGUAGUGGGGGAUAACUGCUCGAAAGUGCAGCUAAUACCGCAUACGACCUGAGGGUGAAAGGGGGGGAUCGCAAGACCUCUCGCUAUUGGAGCGGCCGAUAUCAGAUUAGCUAGUUGGUGGGGUAAAGGCCUACCAAGGCAACGAUCUGUAGUUGGUCUGAGAGGACGACCUGACACACUGGGACUGAGACACGGACCGGACUCCUACGGGAGGCAGCAGUGGGGAGUUUUGCACAAUGGGCGCAAGCCUGAUCCAGCAAUGCCGCGUGCAGGAAGAAGGCCUGCGGGUUGUAAACUGCUUUUGUCAGGGAAGAAAUCCUCUAGGUUAAUACCCUUGGGGGGAUGACGGUACCUGAAGAAUAAGCACUGGCUAACUACGUGCCAGCCGCCGCCGUAAGAC